GAAGGUGGAGCCAUCCAUUCUUAUGGACAGUCUGCCCUCCACUAAUCCGCCCCAGAAAUGUCUUCACAGACUGGCCCAGGGCCUUCUGAGAUGGACAGAAAACCAGCGGCCAUCCAGCAACCUUCAGGCCUUCAACCACAUUAGGUUUGCUGAGCUCUCCAGCUUCAUGGACUGAGCAGCCACGGUGUCUCUGAUUCUCCAACGUGCCGAUAGCCAUGGCUGGACUACCCAGCAUGUGCUAUAUGUAUCCUGUAAGGCAUCAUCUGAAAAGCCUUUCUGCAGGCCAUCGCAUCCUGUGCGCUGAUGGAUUCGCUGUACAGUUCUUCAUCUAAGAAGAUGCUAUGGUCUCCCUGGCUGAGUCCUCCUCCUGGAGUAAAUGAUCGGAUCCUGUCCCCUUCUUCUGAGAGAGCACACUCCCUUGCAGACAACACUCAAGUCCAUC